AGUUCUCCUCUCCCCGUCCCAGCCCCCUCCUCCCUCUCUGUGGCCUCGUCUCUUCCCCGUUCUCUUCUCAAUCCGGAUCCAUGGACGUGGCCGGCAGGGAUGCCAUCGACCGCGGCGCUAGGGUUCGUAGCCGCCGCCACGCGCACAGUCUUCCGGAGCCACCUCCGCUCCGGCGCCCAUCGAUGGUCCUCUCUACCGUCGCCCGAAGCUGCUCCGCCCAUCUUUACCCGGAUCAGCUCAAGCGUGAGGCCACCACGCGUGGUGGCCGUGUGCGGCGGCCGCCGCGUCAGUUCCCCACCGCUGUGGUGCCGCCAGCCAGCGCGAUUCCAUUGCCUUGGAUUCGGUUUUGGCGUGGGCUGGGAACCCUAUGGUGUUGUCUGAUGCGUCAUGGGCGCGUGGGGUUUGGUCGGUUGAGGCCAGGUAUGAGCAGCUCCUGAGAAUGAUGGAUGGAUGGAUGACCACCACGGAGGCAGAGCACCAGGUGAAGGGUGGACUCCUUCUGGAUGUUGUAUUCAGCGAGGGAGCGGCCAUCUCUAGGGAUGAGAGGAUCGGGGUUGUGUGGUCUCUGAAUUCCGCCAAUCUACAAAGGUAGGAGCAGUAUUGGGGAUGAACUUCCCCAUGAAACCAAGUCAUCUGAGGCAAGUAGUAGUGCGAGACGCUUGGAGCAUGAUGUCACGUACUGGAGAAGUGUGUCGUCGGAGAACAGGUGCAGCAGACUAAAGCAUGUCAACAUCGACAUGUUGCUGGCCUGCUGUCCACAUAAUCAGCAAAGACAUAUGUUGAUUAUGAGAUGGUACUUGAGAUCCAGUAUCUGCAAUGAUGAUUUGCAGGAUACUGACAAUGGAGGAGUUUUUGCGGUUCGAAGAGGACACGGUGAUGGGAUGCGGCAGCCUUUCCACGACGCUACAGAAACUGCACAUGGGAAAUGAAGCUUCUUCAGGAAGUUAAGAAUGCUCUGCUCUACUCUGCUCUGCCCUGCAUUGCUCCUAUGGCUCUGCUCUGUCGUGCACACAAUGCUCCAUUUUGUGAUACAUAUGGGCUGAAGAGGAGGAAUGGCUUAAGUCCAAUAAGAAACACCAGGGCCUGCUGAUAUUAGAGUUGAGCAACUCAGAGAGAGGUUCCAUCCCUGCACAUUGGCUGCCAAAGGCACACUGAUUCCACCAUCCGGACGUCCACGGCAUGGAAGCUUGUGCUGAUAAAAGUCCUAUGCCAGCUGAUGGAGCACUUGCAUGUUCAAGUUUGUUUAAGAUCAUUGUGGAGUCACAUUUGAAGGGCACAAACCUUUUCAUUUGAAGUUGCCCUCGAAGACAUUGAUAAUUAUGCUUAUAGAGUACUUCAUCUGUUGUUCUCAUGUCAUGCUGCAUACUGACUGCGCUUCUUCUCUUUUACAUAGCUGCUGCUGAUUCUGCAUUUGAGGAUAAUGAUGAUGCUGAAUACUUCCAUGUUUCCGUUUCAAAGUGUGAUGAGCAAUUGGCCUUGUAUGCUCUGAUUGCACGAGCAGCUGAUGACACCAUCAUACCCUUGAGCAAUUGUUUUCUGAGCGAUUUGCACGGCUAAGUCAGAUUCCUGAAGCUUUAGAGGACGGAAACCAAUGUAGUUGAAGUAGCUCAACAUCCUGGGACACAGUGUUUUUGAACUUGAGCACACGUGUGCUCUAUAUCUGGGCGGUUCAGUAGCGUCUAGGGAUUCAAUGCAUUAAAAAAGUGGGCCGACUUCACGAGCGGCUGAAAAUAUGGAAAAGAGGGAAUACACAUGAACUGUGGCCAACGACAGAGACGGAGGAACGGCGGGCGUGGACGGCAGCAAGCUGAGCCGUGGUUCAACUCGUCAGCGUUCUUGCUGACCCAUGUAUCAGGAUACGUGCUUUGAUCUGUGUGUGGUUCGUUAUCAUUGCACAGUUAGCAAGCCUUCGGGGAAGUCUGUACAUUACCAAACAGAUAUGAACUCCAAGGGUUAUCCCCACCCCUAGAGACAAAGGUGAAUGGGCGUCUUUGUUUGCUGCUUGUGUAAUUUACCAUGUUUCUAUCAACUUGUUACAUCUUACUCUUCUUCGUCUUUGUUUGCUGCUUGUGUAAUUUACUGACGUGGGAUUUCAUUUCGUUUGAUUUUUUGCUAAAUGGGUGCCAAGACUUCAUCUCAAAAAAUUCAUACUACGUAGCGUGCGGAGCUCAAAACAAAUUGUGGACUCCAGCCCGCUUUCAUUGUGUUUCUUGGGGUAUUUGGUUAUGCAGAAAUAUUCUCUGAAUUUAAAUCUGUUUCUUCAUCAGUCAUACAUACUGAUCUGUGUUCUUUUUAGAACUGUCAUACUGAUACAUACUGUUUCUGUAACUCUGGAGAUGUCAGAUUGAAGCCAAAGCAUGACUGCCAGUAAGAAAAUAACAUCUCAGUUCCAGUUACGCGGAUUCAGUCAAACUAGCCGGAGUUAUAGGUGCAAUUGGGCGGCUAAGCUAGAGUUAUGGUUUGUGUGUGGAAUUCUUUCCGACAUUUUUUACUUGUGUUUUUGUUUGUAGAUAAAAAUCAUUGCAGUAUAGAUCCAGUCUCGGUGCUAGGAAAAUAAGCAGGCAAAUUUUUGUUUCCUCGCAUAAUUGAACACCAUUGUAGCAUUUUUCUUUUUUCUUUAUAAUCAAAUAUUGUUAGAACCA